rnacentral:rRNA from 1 species
UACGGAGGGUGCGAGCGUUGUCCGGAAUCACUGGGCGUAAAGGGCGCGUAGGCGGCCCGGUAAGUAGGAGGUGAAAUCCCGGAGCUCAACUUCGGAAUUGCCUCCGAUACUCCCGUGCUUGAGGACUGGAGAGGAGUCUGGAAUUCACAGUGGAGCAGUGAAAUGCGUAGAUAUUGUGAGGAACACUAGUGGCGAAGGCGAGACUCUGGACAGUUCCUGACGCUGAGGCACGAAGGCCAGGGGAGCAAACGGG